CCUGGAUGUUCCACAGCAGUACUGGCAAAAUAUUCUGUGGACAGAUGAAACCAAAGUUGAGUUGUUUGGAAGAAACACACAACACUGUGUGUGGCGAAAAAAAGGCACAGCACACCAACAUCAAAACCUCAUCCCAACUGUGAAGUAUGGUGGUGGGGGCAUCAUGGUUUGGGGCUGCUUUGCUGCGUCAGGGCCUGGACGGAUUGCUAUCAUCGAAGGAAAAAUGAAUUCCCAAGUUUAUCA